rnacentral:rRNA from 1 species
UGUAAGCGUAUACCAAAGUUGUUGCAGUUAAAACGCUCGUAGUCGGAAUUUGGCAGUUCCGGAUGUGUGCACGUCGUGUGCGCACUUCGCGGGGAUUGCUUUUGUGGUCUUGCGUAGGAUGAGGCACUUUUAUUAGUGAACGUCCUCACGCAACCACUUUUUACUGUGAGAAAAUCAGAGUGCUCAAAGCAGGCAUUUGCCGUGAAUGUAUUAGCAUGGAAUAAUAGAAUAGGACUUGGUUCUAAUUUGUUGGUUUGUUGGGACUGAGUAAUGAUUAAGAGGGACAGUUGGGGGCAUUUGUAUUUCGGUGCUAGAGGUGAAAUUCUUAGAUUACCGAAAGACAAACUGCUGCGAAAGCGUCUGCCAAGGAUGUUUUCAUUGA